AAGCAAAGACAAAAAGCGUUAGCUUUUUGAACGUUGCUUUGCAACGACCCGUUAGGGUGAGCAAGUGAACGAAGUACACUUGCGAAUAAAAGUAGGUCGC
rnacentral:ncRNA from 1 species